GUCACAUUAGUUAGUUGGUGGGGUAAUGGCCUACCAAGACGAUGAUGUGUAGCCGGGCUGAGAGGUCGAACGGCCACAUUGGGACUGAGACACGGCCCAAACUCCUACGGGAGGCAGCAGUAAGGAAUUUUCGGCAAUGGAGGAAACUCUGACCGAGCAAUGCCGCGUGAACGAUGAAGUAUUUCGGUACGUAAAGUUCUUUUAUUAGGGAAGAAAAGAUGGUGGAAAAACCAUUAUGACGGUACCUAAUGAAUAAGCCCCGGCUAACUAUGUGCCAGCAGCCGCGGUAAUACAUAGGGGGCAAGCGUUAUCCGGAAUUAUUGGGCGUAAAGGGUGCGUAGGCGGUUAAAUAAGUUUAUGGUCUAAGUGCAACGCUCAACGUUGUGAUGCUAUAAAAACUGUUUAGCUAGAGUUGGAUAGAGGCAAGUGGAAUUCCGUGUGUAGUGGUAAAAUGCGUAAAUAUACGGAGGAACACCAGAAGCGAAGGCGGCUUGCUGGGUCUUAACUGACGCUGAGGCACGAAAGCGUGGGGAGCAAACAGGAUUAGAUACCCUGGUAGUCCACGCCCUAAACGAUGAGUACUAAACGUUGGAUAAAACCAGUGUUGAAGUUAACACAUUAAGUACUCCGCCUGAGUAGUACGUACGCAAGUAUGAAACUUAAAGGAAUUGACGGGACUCCGCACAAGCGGUGGAUCAUGUUGUUUAAUUCGAAGGUACCCGAAAAACCUCACCAGGUCUUGACAUGCUUUUGCAAAGCUGUAGAAAUACAGUGGAGGUUAUCAGAAGCACAGGUGGUGCAUGGUUGUCGUCAGCUCGUGUCGUGAGAUGUUGGGUUAAGUCCCGCAACGAGCGCAACCCUUGUUGUUAAUUGCCAUCAUUAAGUUGGGGACUUUAGCAAGACUGCCAAUGAUAAAUUGGAGGAAGGUGGGGACGACGUCAAAUCAUCAUGCCCCUUAUGACCUGGGCUACAAACGUGAUACAAUGGCUGUUACAAAGGGUAGCUAAAGCGUAAGCUUUUGGCGAAUCUCAAAAAAGCAGUCUCAGUUCGGAUUGAAGUCUGCAACUCGACUUCAUGAAGUUGGAAUCGCUAGUAAUCGC
rnacentral:rRNA from 1 species